rnacentral:rRNA from 1 species
AUUGAACGCUGGCGGCAUGCCUUACACAUGCAAGUCGAACGGUAACAGGUCUUCGGAUGCUGACGAGUGGCGAACGGGUGAGUAAUACAUCGGAACGUGCCUAGUAGUGGGGGAUAACUACUCGAAAGAGUGGCUAAUACCGCAUGAGAUCUACGGAUGAAAGCAGGGGAUCGCAAGACCUUGUGCUACUAGAGCGGCCGAUGGCAGAUGAGGUAGUUGGUGGGAUAAAAGCUUACCAAGCCGACGAUCUGUAGCUGGUCUGAGAGGACCAUCAGCCACACUGGGACUGAGACACGGCCCAGACUCCUACGGGAGGCAGCAGUGGGGAAUUUUGGACAAUGGGCGCAAGCCUGAUCCAGCAAUGCCGCGUGCAGGAUGAGGGCCUUCGGGUUGUAAACUGCUUUUGUACGGAACGAAAAGCCCUGGGUUAAUACCCUGGGGUCAUGACGGUACCGUAAGAAUAAGCACCGGCUAACUACGUGCCAGCCGCCGCCGUAACAC